rnacentral:lncRNA from 1 species
UUCGCGGGUUGUUAUUACAACAAGGUAUGUUGCAAACCCAGUGAUAAGCAAACCCUAAAACCUAAUCCUAAGUAUCAAUUAAUUACACCAAUGACUCGGGAAUGUCAAUAGCUCGAUAUUUCUCAAAAUCGGCGAGUUUUCAGACUGUACGACAACCCAACGACAAACAAUACGCCAACAAUACGCCAACGCAUAAACAGCCCAACUGGCUGGCGUAUUCGGCGUAUUAAUACGGGCGUAUUAGCUGGCGUAUUAAUAUGGAAUACGGUCGCAUCCCUGCAUACGCUCCAGGAGCUCCAGCCAUGCUUCUGACAGGCGUCUGCUGAUCAGUAAAAUUGCGAUAAAACAAUCUGCAAAAAUUGACGAGGACGGUCUAGACACGAAGACGUAUGGAUGGCGUCCGCGCCUCCUCCGGAACCAACUGCACGACAUUGAGGGACGCUUCCAAAGGCAGUCGCGUGGUAUGCGUCCUUAUAAAAUAUUAGUAGGUUAAAUGUCGGAAACUUUAUGAAUAAUUCUUCUGAAAGGGCAUAGGCUCCGUUUCUCGUUGGGAUGCCACGAUGAUUACAAAGAGGGCCGAGCGACUUAAGCCAGCUAACAACCUACAAGAUGUAACAAUGAUGACAUAACAAACUAAACAACAACAACGACUUAAAUAGUUAUCCAGAGCCUAGGCGGCGCCGGAAGGUCGUACAUUAUCCGUAUCUCAAAUGAUCGUCCACGAGUAAAGUUAACGACUUAACAACUAACAAGAAAACCUAACAUGCCCCCCUGCUUAGCUCAAGCAUCGGCCUCGAUGCGACCAAAGUACAAACUAUGCUAAGUCGUGCGCCGCUCCGAUUCCCUGAACGAAAUCGGUACCAGGCUAACGAGGGGAAGGCAAAAGGGAACCGGAGUCAAGGCAAAACCUUCCCCGCACUGGAUACCGGCCUAAAUAAGGCGCACGACACCUAUAUCUACCGGUCUGAGGAACCGGUAUACGACCCAACGAACGUGUCCAGAAACAUCCACAAAGAGUACGCAAAUCAAAAGCCUAAGGCACGGAAAGCAAACUCGGUGGAUGACAAAAGAACGCAAGAAAACACGAAAGUACACAACAUGCAACACGCAAUACCCCGAAAAAAACAGAAGUCAAGACACGACACGCGCAAAACUGAGGCGAAAUAACCCAAAACUGAAAACACACAGGACACGAGUCACACACAACACACAUCCUAUGCGGAGCGCUAGGUUGUCAUGAAGUGCACUAUCCUCGGGGCCCGUUCCGGAAACUUCGCUCUGAACCAGGCAUAGCGGUCUGACAGCUUAAACGCGGUCCAGGCUGGGGUCGCCAGGAAGGCACGAAGUGCUGGAAGGCUGCGUACGUCAUCGUACGGUUCCCAGGACGCGUCACGGCCACUGGCGGUAGACCACUGAACUAGGAACAUGACGGACGGCCGACCACGACGGUUAUAACCUAGGCGAACUGCAGUAACGAUAGUGUCGGCGUGGUCGUACGGUGACUCCAGUGUGAUGGGCACGGCGGGCGGAGCUGGAGGACGGUUGGGGAAGAGCGUAGGAUCGUUGUCUGUCCACGGAAGCAGGCGGGAGACGUGAAAAACGGGAUGGAUGCGACCGAGGGUAGGUGGAAGUUGGAGGCGGUAAGCGACGGGGGAAAUGACUGCACUAAUGGUAAAAGGGCCGAUGUAGCGAGGUCGGAGUUUUGCGGAGGGGUAGUCGGGUAAGGUGAGGUUAGUGGUGGAGAGGCGAACACGGUCGCCAACUUGGAAGGUGAGGUUGCGGCGGUGUUGGUUGGCGGCGGCAGCGUAUCGAACUUUAGCUGCUUCGAGUUCUGCGGUGAUGGUAGAAUGAAUGUCACGGAUGUGGGCAUGGAGAUCAGCGGCGGCGGUGUGUGCGGGUUUGGAAGGGGGGGUGUUAAUCGUGGCGGGGGUGGUGGGAUGGAAACCGUAGUUGGCGUAAAAUGGGGUGGUGCCGGUGCUGGCGUGGGGAGUGUUGUUGUAGGCAGCUUCGGCGAUGGGCAGGUAGGCAGCCCAGGAAUCUUGCAUGGGCUGAACGUAAGCACGAAGGAUUUGCUCGACGGUGCGAUGGGUACGUUCAGUUUGACCAUCGGUUUGCGGAUGGUAAGCGGAGGAAAGGUUGAGGGAAGUGCCUAAAUGUUCCCAAAAGGUGCGCCAGAUGUCGGCUGUGAAGCGGGGGUCGCGGUCGGAGACGAUGGUGGUGGGGAGGCCAUGAAGACGAUAGAUGUUGGAGAUGGCAAGGAGGGCGAUAUCGCGGGCUGUAGCUGAUUUGUUGGUGGGUACGAAGUGGGCUUGUUUGGAGAACAUGUCGACGAACGUGACAAUGGCGGUGUAGGUGCGACCAUCCAGUCCUUUGGAGGGCGGUAGGUCGGUGAUGAGGUCCAAAGACACAUGAGUCCAUGGUCGUGAAGGCGUAGGCAUGGGAUGGAGGAGGCCAGGCGGAGGCUGAGUAGAUGGUUUUGAGCGCUGGCAGGUGGCGCAGGAUUGUACGUAGGCACGGACUGUGCGGCUCAUAUGUGGCCACCAGUAGCGGGUAGUGAUGGAGGCGAGGGUGCGACGAAAACCGGGAUGACCUGAGUAGGCGGCAUCAUGGAAUUCGUGCAGUAGGCGACGGCGAAGGGCGGGGUCAGCAGGUACAGCGAUGCGGUUGCCAAAGUAGACGAGACCGUCAGGGGAGCGUUGGAGGUAUGGCUUGAUAGUGGCGGGGUUGGAGUACAUGGGGUCGGUGGUGUAACCAGAAAGGAUGGCGGCGGUGAGACUGGGGUCGGGAAGGACAUGGGAGGCGAGAGCAAAGCAGGUGUGGCGGAGCGCGUUGUUGGCGGAGAUGUCGACAGGUGGUUCUGUGGAAGGCCAAAGUGGAACGGAAGAUGGAAGAGACUGUAUGUGAGGCGAUGGUGAGAGGAACGGUGUGGAAGAGACGCUGGAGGGUGGAUCGGGGAAAGGCGGCGGUUGGACAGGGAAGCGAGAGAGAGCGUCGGCCAGGUUUUGUGGCCCAGGGCGGUAGGUGAUGGAGAUGUAGCCUUGAAACGGUGCGAGCAGUUGAGCCCAACGAGCUUGGCGUCGCGAAAGGUCCUUCUGCGUGAAGAAACGCUGUAGAGUGUCGUGGUCGGUGCAUAGCGUGAAGUGGCAACCUUCAAGAUAGCAACGAAACUUACGUACAGCGUGUACGACAGCAAGCAGUUCCAACUCGUGGAUUGGAUAAUUUGCUUCGUGUCGAUUGAGCUUGCGGGACUCGAACGCGACGGGAUGAAGGGCGUUGUCUCGUUCCUGGAGGAGUACUGCUCCGAGGCCAAGGGUAGAGGCGUCCGUAUAGAGGGUGAAGGUGGCUGAGGGACCCGUUUGAGGAAUGAUGAGAGCGGGGGCGGAGGUGAGUGCGUUACGAAGAGCAUGGAAGGCAGCGACGGCGUCGGGCGGUAAGGUCUUGGGAAAGGGCUGGGUGGUUUUGGUAAGCGCGAUGAGAGGGUGGGCGAUGCGGGCGUAGUCCUUGAUGAAACGGCGGUAGAAUCCUGUAAAACCCAGGAAGGCGCGGACGUCGGUGAUGGUGGAGGGAAUGGGGAAAUGGUUGAGGGCUGCAAGUUUGUCGGGGUCGGUUGUGAUGCCGUCGCGGGAAAUGAUGAAGCCACAGAAUUUUGUUGACGGCUGGGCGAAGGAACAUUUUGUGCGGCGGACGUGGAGGUGGUGGUUCUGCAAGGUGCGGAGGACAGCUUCCACGUCGCGGCAAUGGGCUUCGAAGGUGCGUGAGUAGAUGAGGACGUCGUCGAGGUACACGACCGCACACUUGUUGCGGAAGGGGCGGAGGACGUCGUUCAUCAGGGACAUGAACGUAGCAGGGGCGCCGGUGAGUCCGAAAGGAAGGACGAGCCAUUCAUACAGCCCAUACUUACACCGAAAAGCUGUUUUAUGCACGUCCGGUUCGUGCACCCGAACUUGGUGGUAACCCGACCAGAGAUCCAGCUUGGUGAAGUAGGCUGCGCCGUACAGCUGGUCUAGGAGCUCGUCCACACGAGGCAGCGGGUACGCGUUCUUGACGGUGAGCUGGUUGAUCGCACGAAAGUCGACACAGAGGCGUAGUCCGUUGCCGCCGGGUUUGCGGGCGAACAGGAUUGGAGCGCCAAACGGCGACGUAGACGGGCGAAUCCAGCCACGGUCGAGGUAGUCCUUGAGCUGUCGUUCAAGCUCUUGGAGCUCUGCCGGUGACAUACGGUACUCACGUUGCUUCGGCGGCUGGGCGUCGGGGUCGAGGGGAAUGCGGUGAUCGCAAGGGCGGGACGGUGGAAGACCAGUCGGUUCAGAGAAGACAGCGGAGUAUCGGUCGAGGAUGGACUGGAGAGGAGGCGGAGCAGGCGGUAUGGAGGCGGUGGGCUGAGGUGGGGCUUCGGGAUCGAUUUCUGGAUCAUCGAGGGGACGGAGUAUGCCGAGGUAGACUGGUGGAGGUUGAAUAAAGGGGCCACGUUUGCGAGGAUUGGAAGCGGUGGGUGGUGGUGGGCGGGCGCUGGCUUGACGAAUGCAUUUCUGCAUGCGGGCGGCGGAGACGAAUUCGAUGGCGAACAUGGGUGGCUGGGGGGUUGAGCCCGAAAGGAGUGUAUUGCCUAUCGUGACGGUGUUGGACUGCCAAUCGAUGUUGGGGUUGUGCUGGGUUAACCAAGGCUUACCAAGGAUAGCAUCGUACCCGUCAAGGUCCAAGGCGUAGAAGGUGGUAAGCUCAUGGUGGGAUUGGAUGGAGAGGUGGACGUUGGCAAGGGCGGCGGAAGAGAGAGCGAGAUGUCCGUUGGCGAGGCGGACUCGGAAGGCUUGAGACGGUGGAAGAUUGGCGGGACGGAGGUGGGAGCGGUUGAUGAAAUCGUUGGCUAUGAAGUUGCGUGAGGCGCCGGAGUCAAGAAGGAUUCGAGCAGGGCGUCCAGCGAUGUGGGCGUCGAAGACGAUGAGUGUGGAGGAGAGAUCGGCGGCUGUCAGGCGGCCGAGGAUAGGGGGUAGAGGGACCUGUGAAGUGGGUGUGUUUUCGUCGACGGGUGGUAACGGAGGUUGGCGAAGACGGUGGUGCUGCUUGAGUGCUGGACGAGGGAUGGGUUGGGGGCGAGGGAGGGUAGAGUGAGGGGUAGGUGGUGAGACGAGGGGAGAAGCGAAGGAGACGCGCGGAGGUGGAGCGGUUAUACUGGUGGGUGGUUGCGGGGUAGGAGUAGGUGGAGGUACGGGAGCCGUGGAGGGUUGUGGGGCUGGGGGCGAGGGCGAGAAGCGGGCGAUGAGACGGGCGACGUUGGAGCGGGACGGCGGAGGUUGUUCCGCGGUUGGGGGUGUGAGUGGUUUUGGGGUUGCGAAGUGGUGGGUGAGUUGUCGAACACGGGAGGUGGUGGUAAGCGGGGACGACGAAGUAGUUGACGACGUAGGUGACGACAUGGUAGAGGACGGAGGUGACGAAAUAAUUGAGGAUGAAGACGAUGAAGUAGGAGGCAACGAAGACGAGAUAAGAGAGGGCGAAGACGACGAAGUAGUGGACGACGGAGACGACGAAAUAAGAGGAGACGAAGACGACGAAGUAGGGGACGACGGAGACGACGAGAUAAGAGAAGACGAAGACGACGAAGUAGGGGACAACGGAGACGACGAAGUAGGUAAGGAGGUAGUGGACGAAGUGGCGAGCGUGAAGGGGGUGUUGGACGGUGGGUCGUAAAAGACGAUAAGCGGCCAGGGGGAAGGUCCUGGCUCGCCGUACCUGGAGGCGUCGGAGGGGUCGCGGCGGCAGACGAUCCGCGCGCCAGCAGGGAAGCGGCGCACGACGGUCAUGUGGCGUAUGAGAGGAGCCCAGGGGGCUGUAGGACGGUCUGGUAGGACGAUGAUGGCGGAGGUGCGAGGGUUAGUCGUUUUGGACUCCAGGUACUGAGAGAUGAAGGCGGACGGGGACGAGGUAGGCGGGACCAUCCAGACGCACUCGCCAUCGACUUGGGCCGACAGAAAGGAGCGGGACGGCGAGAAGAAGGGAACGACGUGGGCGUUGAUGCCGAAGUCGUCGCAGCAGGCGUCGACGGUGAAGGGGCCAUACUGCGAGUCAAGAUCGAGGAAGACGGUGCGCGAAAGCNNN